rnacentral:rRNA from 1 species
UACGAAGGGGGCUAGCGUUGCUCGGAAUCACUGGGCGUAAAGCGCACGUAGGCGGACUCUUAAGUCGGUGGUGAAAUCCUUGAGCUCAACUCCAGAACUGCCUUCGAUACUGAGAGUCUCGAGUCCGGGAGAGGUGAGUGGAACUGCGAGUGUAGAGGUGAAAUUCGUAGAUAUUCGCAAGAACACCAGUGGCGAAGGCGGCUCACUGGCCCGGUACUGACGCUGAGGUGCGAAAGCGUGGGGAGCAAACAGG